rnacentral:lncRNA from 1 species
UUCCUCUCCCCGCCCCCAACCCCUCUUUCAUCCGUGGGGGCUCGCAACUUCCAGAAGCUUCUCUCAUCUUCCAGCCUGAUGUCUGGCUCUGCGUUAUGGCCCAGCGGUGCCUCAGCCCCGCUGGUGCCCAUCGAGGAACUGGAGAACCCGGAGUUAAUAGGCAAGGGCGGAUUUGGCUCUGUCUUCCGGGCACAUCACAGGAGUUGGGGCGUAGAAGUGGCGGUCAAGAUCGUGAACUCGAGGGCCAUAUCCAGGGAGGUGAAGGCCAUGUCCAGUCUGCAUAACAAGCAUGUGCUGCUCCUGCUGGGGGUCACCGAGAAGCUGGAGUGGGAGUACGUGUCUGGGCCGGCUCUGGUGACUCCGUUCAUGGAGAACGGCUCCCUGGCGGAGCUGCUACAGCCCCACUGCCCUCGGCCCUGGCCGCUCCUCUGCCGCCUGCUGCAGGAGCUGGUGCUCGGGAUGUGCUACCUGCACAGCCAGAACCCAGUGCUUCUCCACCGGGACCUCAAGCCCUCCAACGUCCUGCUAGACUCAGAGCUGCACGCCAAGGUGGCAGAUUUUGGCCUGUCCACAUUUCAGGGAGGCUCACAGUCAGGGGCAGGAUCUUGGGAGUCAGGGUGCACCCCAGCCUACCUGGCCCCAGAACUGUUGGCUAAUAUAAACCAGAAGGCCUCCAGGGCCAGUGAUGUCUACAGCUUUGGGAUCCUAACAUGGGCAGUGCUAGCCGGAAGAGAAGCUGAGAUAGUGCCCCAGACGUUGUUGGUGCGGGAAGCAGUGUGUGAGAGGCGGAUCCGGCCCCCGCUGACUGAGCUGCCCCCGUCUGGGCCUGAGACUCCUGGCUUGGAAGAGCUGGCAGAUCUGAUGCAGAGGUGCUGGAGCCAUGAGCCCCAGAAGAGGCCUUCCUUCCAAGAAUGCCGAAUAAACACCCAGAAAGCCCUUGAUCUGGUAAAUAAAAAGAUGAAUGCCGCAGUCUACGUGGUGAAGGAGUUCCUUUCUGAGUACAGGGGCAGCAACAGCCCAGGCCUGGAAAGGACAGAAAUAGACAGUCCUAAGGAAACCACAGGAAGCCAUGAUUCCCUGGGCUCUGAAAUGAUGAAGCUGAAUCUGGAGGGGCGCCCCAGCUCUGUUCCUGAAAAAUGUACAAACCUUCUUGAGAACAUCAGGGUCCCGAGAGAGCAGGUUCCGCCUGCCUGGACAGCAGAGACAUCUUCAGAUUCAACAGCCCGACCUCUUCAGACUCCAGAGACUUUACCUUUCAGAACCCAGAAUCCCAGGCCCACCUCUGCUUGGAUCCCAGGUCCUGGACCCCAAGGGAGUCAGGGGGCUGAGAGACGUGACACCAACUGCCCUCCCAGAGGGCCGGCACCAAAUCUGGUACCAGGGCCAUGGCUUCCUACCAUCUUUAACUGCCAAGGAGUACAGAUUGGAAACAACAACCGCAUAAUUAUGCAAGGAAGAACAGCCUUCUCCACAAAGGGCGUGGCACCUGGGGCCGUGGAUAGGGUCCCUCAGUGCACCCCUCAAGGAAAAAGUUCAAAAGAACGACCGAAAGAACCUGAAGCCAGCAAGAAUUGA